GUCUCUAUAGCUCAGUGGCAGAGCGUCAGUCUCAUAAUCUGAAGGUCGACGGUUCGAUGCCGCCUAGGGACA
rnacentral:tRNA from 5 species